rnacentral:tRNA from 1 species
GGCUCCGUGGUCAAGCGGUUAAGACACCGCCCUUUCACGGCGGUAACACGGGUUCGAGUCCCGUCGGGGUCA